GCGAGUGAAGCGGCAAGAGCUCAAAUUUGAAAUCUGGUACCUUCGGUGCCCGAGUUGUAAUUUGAAGAAAGCUAUCUUGGAUUUGGCCUUUGUCUAUGUUCCUUGGAACAGGACGUCACAGAGGGUGAGAAUCCCGUGCGAUGAGGUGUCCAUUUCUAUGUAAGAUGUUUUCGAAGAGUCGAGUUGUUUGGGAAUGCAGCUCUAAGUGGGUGGUAAAUUCCAUCUAAAGCUAAAUAUUGGCGAGAGACCGAUAGCGAACAAGUACAGUGAUGGAAAGAUGAAAAGAACUUUGAAAAGAGAGUGAAAAAGUACGUGAAAUUGUUGAAAGGGAAGGGUAUUAGAUCAGACUUGGUAUUUAGUUAUCAUUGCUCCUUGUGGGUGGUGCUCUAGCUUUUUACUGGGCCAGCAUCAGUUUUGGUGGCAAGAUAAUGACAUUUGAACGUGGCUCUUCGGAGUGUUAUAGCUUUUGUUGAUAUUGCCUACUGGGACUGAGGUCUGCGGCUUUUGCCUAGGAUGCUGGCGUAAUGAUCCAAUACCGCCC
rnacentral:rRNA from 1 species